rnacentral:rRNA from 1 species
UACGAAGGGUGCUAGCGUUGUUCGGAAUUACUGGGCGUAAAGGGCGCGUAGGCGGAUAGUUCAGUUGGGGGUGAAAGCCCGGGGCUCAACCUCGGAACUGCCUUCAAUACUGGCUAUCUUGAGUACGGGAGAGGUGUGUGGAACUCCGAGUGUAGAGGUGAAAUUCGUAGAUAUUCGGAAGAACACCAGUGGCGAAGGCGACACACUGGCCCGUUACUGACGCUGAGGCGCGAAAGCGUGGGGAGCAAACAGG